UGGCGGACGGGUGAGUAAUGUCUGGGAAACUGCCUGAUGGAGGGGGAUAACUACUGGAAACGGUAGCUAAUACCGCAUAACGUCGCAAGACCAAAGAGGGGGACCUUAGGGCCUCUUGCCAUCGGAUGUGCCCAGAUGGGAUUAGCUAGUAGGUGGGGUAACGGCUCACCUAGGCGACGAUCCCUAGCUGGUCUGAGAGGAUGACCAACCACACUGGAACUGAGACACGGUCCAG
rnacentral:rRNA from 1 species